UACGUAGGUGGCGAGCGUUGUCCGGAUUUACUGGGCGUAAAGGGCGUGCAGGCGGUCUGUUAAGUCUAGGGUGAAAGCUCCCGGCUCAACUGGGAGAGGUCCUUGGAUACUGGCGGACUUGAGGGAGGCAGAGGAGAGUGGAAUUCCCGGUGUAGUGGUGAUAUGCGUAGAUAUCGGGAGGAACACCAGUGGCGAAGGCGGCUCUCUGGGCCUUACCUGACGCUGAGGCGCGAAAGCGUGGGGAGCGAACCGG
rnacentral:rRNA from 1 species